rnacentral:antisense_RNA from 1 species
GAGGCAACUGCCUGGCCAGUGUGGAGGCAGCUUUAGUCCCUGGGACCAUUUCUGUGCCCAAGGAGAGGGAGGACAGGGGAAGGAUGGAAUUUCAUCUAGAGUAGCAGGUCCUGGUUACCUGGUAAAUUAUGCAUCAGGACUGGGCUAGCCACUGCCUCUGUUUUCUCUGGGUUCCUGAGAUAACCUCCACCUGCCUCUAGAUUUUGUGCCAGCUGAUCGUAUCUAUCUCAUCAACUCUUGUUCCAUCAGGAAACUGCAUCUUGGAUUCUGGGUCAACAUCAUCCCCACGGUGGAUCCAUUGGUGAGAGCAAUAAUGAAGCCGGUUUGCCACCAGGCUCCCAAAGAAGUGGGAACACUGACUGCAAAAGGGACAAUCUGAUUGGAUGAAAAGCAAGGCCUCAGAAGCAUUGGCACGUGUCCGCAAAGAGCCCAGCUAGAGAGACCCAGACACAUGCAAAUGGCCUUCUGAGUUCAUUCUUGAUGGAGAGGAGCUGGAAGAAUCCACUAAGGACAAAUUGCCCUGUGGAUUUAGUAAGAGAUCUGUAUAUAAUGGAGCCCCCUGAGGCUGGCUUGUUAAAGUAGUAUCUUCUGCUUCCCUGACAGCAAAUUCAUGUGCACUGUUUACCGGGAAAUAAUUAUGGUUUUCGGCACUGGCAAAUGGAUUCCUAUUUCUAAUGGGAGACAGUGGUUGGCAAACAUGAAACCUUGAGUUUCCCUCUGAGUCUGAGCUGUGAACUGAAGUCGAUGACAUUGACAAGUCUACUGGAAUAUCAUCGCUCAGAGGAGAAUGCAUGAAUGAUGCAGGAGGGUUAUAGGAUGAAUUCACUGAUGAUCUUGGAGAUGUUGGUCUGCCAGAAAGAAAGUAGUCAAGAGAAUUUUGAGAACUGCUUAAAUAGUCUUGCCAGUAUCCUUCAGAAUCAUGGGUGCCAGGCCUAUGUUCCAUAGAAAUACAAUCACUCCAUGCAUUUUCCGCAUUGACACCAUCCUCUUGUCUGGGCUCGGAUUUGGUGUCCCACGAAAGGGGGCUCUUUUUCGCAUUUUCACUGCCACCUCUGUCCUUCUCUAUAGCAGAUUCCCUAUCAGGCAGCCCGGGGUCUUGGGACAACCUUUGCCCAGCAGAAGGCCGCUCUGUUGCUGGCUCCAUUGCAUUGCUUAUUCUCAAUGAGCCAUGACUGGGCUCACUUCUUCCUGAAGAAUGACCUCUACAAUUUUCAGCAUUUUCUUCAAAAUUUUUAUUUUUGGCCUGAGGGGUCGAUGUCCCCCCAAAUCUACUUCUUUUGUGAUGGGAAGGAGAACGGGGUGAGUGCAUACCAACCCACAGACAUUCUUCAACCUGGGUUUCCCCUUCAGUGUCAUCGCUUUCUCUUCUGCUGUUCAAUGACAAAAUGGAACAGAAGUCUUUAUCUCGGAACCUAAAUGAUGCCCUUCUUGGCCCUCCUACGGUGGUGGGUGUGAGUGGUGGCCCCGAGAACUCACUCAAUACUUGAGGACUAUUUGUUCCUUGGAAGGCCUGGGACAGGGCUGGAUGCAGCCCACUCUGGGAAGGAGCACUUGGGUCUCCUUUUUUGGCUCUAUCAGGAGGGUUCUCAGUCAUUGGCUGUGAUGAUGGGACCAAGUUUCUUCUCUCUCGAUUUGCCCUCUUCAGCUUAGUGUUACACAUUAGGCCUUCUUGUUGAACUACUUGAUCUGCAUUGAGAAAAGACACAUUUAUCAUUCCAGUAAAAGGGCCCAUGGAUGAAAGGCCUCUAGCACCAAGCGCAAAAUUGCCCUUUAAAUGCAACAGACAAGACCUAGAGAAGAAAAUAGGCACGGUCAAAAUGGCUCGAGGUACAAGAGGAGCAGAGCCCAGCAGGCUUCAUUUUACUGCCCCGUAUUCUCCUUUGUACCCCUGUGGUCCUAGGGAAACAGGGUGACCCUGAGGAUACAGAUUCUUUCUGCAGAAGCUCCCGGAAGACUGGCCCAGCCCCAGCCAGUCAGGGUUGAUGAUGGGCAAACCUCGCACUAAAUACUGGCUUUGGUUCCAUACAUACUGAAAGGGAAAACCACCACUCUGGGAAUGACUUCUACACAAACCACCAGCCCUUUCUCAUCCACAUUCAUUCAACGUACAUUUAUGACACCCUGCCUCCCACACAGCUUUACAAGAACUUAAGAGAAGUACAACAUGUCUUGGCAGAUCAGGAGGAAAGCUAUAGGAGCUGGCACCCGGGCACACUAGGGAUUUUGGUCAUGUUUACUAUUUAGUGAAAAUAAAAAUUAUAAAUCUCUCAUGACA